UAAGACGGAGGGGGCUAGCGUUGUUCGGAAUGACUGGGCGUAAAGGGCGCGUAGGCGGUUUUUUAAGUGAGGCGUGAAAGCCCUGGGCUUAACCUAGGAGGUGCGUUUCAUACUGAAAGACUUGAGUACGAGAGAGGAAAGCGGAAUUCCUAGUGUAGAGGUGAAAUUCGUAGAUAUUAGGAAGAACACCAGUGGCGAAGGCGGCUUUCUGGCUCGUAACUGACGCUGAGGCGCGAAAGCGUGGGGAGCAAACAGGAUUAGAUACCCUGGUAGUCCACGCUGUAAACGAUGAGUGCUAGACGUUGGGGGGAGACUCUCAGUGUCGCAGCUAACGCAUUAAGCACUCCGCCUGGGGAGUACGGUCGCAAGAUUA
rnacentral:rRNA from 1 species